rnacentral:lncRNA from 1 species
GAUCCAAUUUUGAUCCUGACUCGAUCCACUGGUCUUCAAACAAUGCAUCGAUUCGCACCUGAUUCCUUUACCAGGUAAUCUGACACAGCAAACAGGACUUCUGAUGGGCCCACCUUGAAUACACAAUUCAGCAUUGUUUGACACGUCAUCAACAUGGAUUUUGUGAAGAAAGAGCCGUUAAUUGAGGUGGGCCCACAACUUUCCACCGUGAGGUCGUGCACAAGCAUAUGGGGAGGUGAGUAAAGCGGGGUGCGCGAAGAACAAAAUGUUCCCAUUAAAAACUAGAAAGCAAAACAAGAA